rnacentral:rRNA from 1 species
CUAGCGACUUAGAGUUUGAUCCUGGCUCAGGAUGAACGCUGGCGGCGUGCCUAACACAUGCAAGUCGAACGAAGCACCUAACUUUGAUUUCUUCGGGAUGAAGAGUUUUGUGACUGAGUGGCGGACGGGUGAGUAACGCGUGGGUAACUUGCCUCAUACAGGGGGAUAACAGUUAGAAAUGACUGCUAAUACCGCAUAAGCGCACAGUAUCGCAUGGUGCAGUGUGAAAAACUCCGGUGGUAUGAGAUGGACCCGCGUCUGAUUAGCUAGUUGGCGAGGUAACGGCUCACCAAGGCGACGAUCAGUAGCCGGCCUGAGAGGGUGAACGGCCACAUUGGGACUAAGACACGGCCCAA